AGAGCGAACGCUGGCGGCAGGCCUAAUACAUGCAAGUCGAACGCACCUUCGGGUGAGUGGCGGACGGGUGAGUAACACGUGGGAACGUGCCCUUUGGUUCGGAAUAAUCCGGGGAAACCUGGCCUAAUACCGAAUGUGCCCUUCGGGGGAAAGAUUUAUCGCCAUUGGAGCGGCCCGCGUCUGAUUAGCUAGUUGGUGGGGUAAAGGCCCACCAAGGCUACGAUCAGUAGCUGGUCUGAGAGGAUGAUCAGCCACACUGGGACUGAGACACGGCCCAGACUCCUACGGGAGGCAGCAGUAGGGAAUCUUGCGCAAUGGGCGAAAGCCUGACGCAGCCAUGCCGCGUGAAUGAUGAAGGUCUUAGGAUUGUAAAAUUCUUUCAGCGGGAAGAUAAUGACGGUACCGCAGAAGAACGCCCGGCUAACUUCGUGCCAGCAGCCGC
rnacentral:rRNA from 1 species